rnacentral:piRNA from 1 species
UGAAACAUUCACGGUUUUAAA